GGCAACCCCUAAUAUAAUGAUGC
rnacentral:siRNA from 1 species